GCAUAUGCCACAGGUGCAGCCCUGAAAAAAAAGACAAGAGCAAAAACAAUGCCAGGUGCAAUCCUGUGAUUGAUGCGUGGGGGCUGUUUCUCUUCGGCAGCCCCCAUAGCCCGGUCACUGAUACACGG
rnacentral:snoRNA from 1 species